rnacentral:lncRNA from 1 species
UCACAUCAUACAAGACAAUAGUUCAACAUGAUAAUAUAGCAAUAAGUUCACAUCAUUCAACACAUCAUACAAUAUAGCAUUACAUAAACCAUAGAUCAACAACACAAUAUAGCAAUAAGUUCACACCAUACAAUAGUCUAACACAAUCGUUCAUAAGUUCACAUCACCCAAGAGUCUAACAUAGCACAAGACAGUUCAACACAAUAGACUAUUACAAUAAAGGAUAGUUUUUAAAUGACAUAAGAUAGUGCAAGCAAUCCAUGCUUGCUUGAAGAUCUCAAGUCGCAACCUCAUCGUCCACCUCCAUAGCAUUCAUAGCUUCACUUAUAGUUUUUAUUUCACCCUCCAAAUCUGAAAUCAAUAGAGAACAAUAAAACAUAUCAGUAGUAGCCAUCAUCAUCAUUUACAAAAAAAAAAAUACAAGAACACAUGUACAAGAAAAUAAAACCUUUGUCUGAAGCAAGCUUCCAAUCCUUAGUACAAACCAAGGCUUCAAUAAUUUCAAGUUUAAGCUUCGAACGGAAGGAAUCAACCACACGUCCACCAGAGCUAAAUGCCAACUCUAAAGCAACAGUUGACACUUGCAUUGAUAGUACAUCACGAGCAAGGCUAGAAAGAAUAGGAAAAUUUGUCACUUGCCCCUUCCACCAUGAUAAGGCAUCAAAUGGUGCAUCACCUUCAUUAGCCUUCACUAGGCCGUCACUCAUGUAAAGAUCCAAUUCAGACAAUUUCUUCUCAUUGUUUGUUGCUGCAUAUAACUCAUCAAGAUUAACCUCAUUCUCAUCAUCGUCAUCCAUCAAAACAACAUUUUUGCUUGCCACAGAAUCCUUCGAGCUAGUACCCUUAUUAGUUGAUUUUGCAUUGAUGGUUGAUGAAUAGAAUGCAAAUAAUUCAUUGAUAACAUUCAUGAAUGUCAUUUUCUCCAACUCGGCCAUCUCACUAUCAUACAUCUUAGACAUGUAUAGCUCAACCAUUCUGUGUUUGUACCUAGGAUCAAGAAAUGCUCCCACUGCCAAAGCCAUAUUGUUCAUUGUAACACCCUGAAUUUGGGGGUAUAAAAUUUCUUUGCUCAUAUUCACAAAUUCAGGUGUUACUUCCCUUUUUUCAUCCUUUCACAAUCUUCUCUUUCUCAUUUCUAUAGGAGAAAAGUGGUUAUUUUAUUUGUAAUUAUAGUCUAUUAGCUCAAACCCUAAGGGAAUAUGAAUUGUUGCAUCAUGUUGAACCCUAGAUUUCACUUUUGUUUGGUGCAUAGUUCUCAAAAAGUCUAAUUUGAAUUUGGGGCUCAUUUGAAUUUGAAUCAAAUAGAAUAAAUAAAAGAAAAGGAGAAAACAAUUCCAAAAUAAAAGAAAAAGGCAAAGCAGCCCACUUCCCCGCCCCCCUCGGCCUUUCGGCCCAGUCGGCCCACCUCGCGCGCGCGCCUCUCCCCCCUCCUCUCUCUGCGCAGCGGGCCCGGCCUGUCGGCGCGGCCGCCUUCCGCGCACCCGCCUCCCUCUCUCUCUGCUCGCCCGGCCCCACCUGUCGGCGCUGCCGCUUCCCCGCCCGCGCCCGCUCCCUCGCUCUCUCUCUGCCCGUGGGCCCGGCCCGUCAGCCCCGCUUCCCUCGCGCCCGCACCCGCUUUCUUCUCUCUCUCUGCGCCGCGGGCCCGGCUUGUCAGCUUCUCCGUCUUCGCGUAACCGCCGCCGUGCGUGCCGCGGUCUCCGCGCCCACGUCGCGCGUGGGGCUCGCCCCACCUCGCCCUCGGCCACUUGAGCCCCGAGCCUUGCUCGCCAUCUCCCCCUCCCUCAUUUGCGCACCAACCGGCCCCCCUCUUCCACCUCUCCCUCGCUGCGCGCACGCCAGAGCGCCGCCGCCGUAAAUCCCGCCGUUCCGAGCUCGGUUCCCGGCCGCCGUUGGAGCUCCGCCGUGUCCAUUGCCACGGUGAGCUUCGCCCCGACGUCCGCAACCCGGAACGCGCAUCAAUUUCCCCUUCCCCGCCCUAUUUCUCUCUGCCCGCGCUCACCCGCCGUCCGCCGUGCAGCCGCCACCGUCGACCCGGGCCACCGUCGCGUCUCCGUCGCCGCCGAGGAGUCCCCGGAGCCCGCCUUGAGGUAAAGAACCUCCCCCGCCCCUAUUGGCCUUUAUUUUGCUCUCUGCUGCGUUUGAUUGCUCGUCGGAGUUGCUUACCGCCGCCGCCGAGCCACUCCGCCGUGAGCCACCCCCCUCCGGUGCCCCUGCCCCGACCCAGACCCCACCAAUGGAUUCCCCGUGCCCUCCCUAACCUCCCCGGCCACUCGGAUCGCCCCAAGGACCCGCAGGGCCCCCGCGCCCCUCGUCUCCGGCGAGCUCCUCCGCCACGGGGACGAGCGCCGCCGCCCCAGCUAGCCGAAGGAGACGGGAGCCAGCCACCCCAUCCCCGCCGUCUAUAUUAGAUCGGACGGCACGGAUUCAAAUAACCCGAACCCAACCUCAACCGUCCGCCCAAGAUCCAACGGCCCAGAGCCGUUUCCCCCGCGCCCCGCCUCCCUGCCAACUGGGCCCUGCCUGCCAGUCGCCCGCGCUCGCCCUGCCAACUGGGCCCCGCCUGUCAGCCCCGCGCCCGCGCUGCCCGCCCGGCCCCGCCUGUCAGCCGCUCACGCCGCCGCGCGCCCGCGCGCCCGCCCGCAGGAUCUAAUCCUGGCCGUCGAUCUGAGAUCCAACGGCUGUAGGCGCCCGAUACCCCUUCGCCCGCGCAUUUUCUUAAAGAACCCCCCUGUUUUCUGGAAAUUGCGCCCGCCGUCCCUGGUUUCUCGCAGUUAGGUCCUCGGACCUUUUAUUUAAUUCAAAAUAGGUCCUUAGGGUAUAAUUUUAACCCCUAAACUUGUAAAAUUCAUAACUUUGUCAUAUGAACUCCAAAUUAGGUGCUUCAAAUUGCAAAAUGUUCAUAAUAUUAUUAUCUAUCUGUUUAUGCGAUGUUUCUCUGCUGUUUCCAUGUCCCAAUUAAUGGUUAAUCAUUGGGAUAUAGUUAAUGUUAUGGGAACCCUAUUUGAGAUCAAUAAAAGAUAGUAGACUUUAAUAAAAGUUGGAGCACUUAAGUUUAUGGACUCAAACACUUAAGUUUAGGAACUUAAACCAGAUAAUUAUUUUAAUCCCACCACUAACUUGAACCUGAUUAGUGGAUAAUGAAUCACUUUGUAUAGUCCUCUACCCCAGACCUAGGGAACACUAGAGUGCCUAUCCUUUUUUUGUUAUGACCAUGUGACCUCUCUCUGCUGCAUAUGUUUGGUAUAUUGUUUUUGUUUGUUAUUUUCCCAAGUGCAUAGUGUGAAUGAUUGCUUUACGUAGACAACGAGCAGUCUGUGUUUCCUGAGGCAGUUGCAGAGGAAGUCCCUGAUCAGCAGUUUGGUGAAGGCAAGUGCCCUCUGUCCCAUUAUGUCCUAUUCAUUUAUAACUUACUACCCCGCACUACUUACUUGAAACCUAAGGAUUGACUAGCUUUACAUUUUACUUUAUCCUUGAUGACCUUAUGGGCUAUUAUGGUUAGCACUCUGCUAUUGCCUUAACUUAAUCAAUGAACAUGAUGUGACUAUUUAUGAUACUGUUAUCCUGAUGAUGUUGAUGAUCUUGUGAUACUCUAGGGGGCUCAGGCUGUUUUCCUGAGUACCUCUCCGUAAGGACUGGUUCGUUGAGAGACCACCCGGGAUAACAGUGCAACCAUGAGGGUGAAAUGGGAUGCCCUUAGCUGAUUAAUUAGAUGAACUAGAGGUGUAGUUGCUUAGCCGUCGUGCCGUCAAUGGGGUCCAGGCACAGUGCUUGCUCUGCCGAGGCUGAGUGCCGAGGUUCUUUCGUUUUGCUCUUUGUUAGUCACUCUCCUGCGGGGAGGGGUACUGUGUUUAUCAAACUAGAGAAACCUAACGGGCAGCUACGAUCUCUAGGGAAUCUUUGUAAAAGCUACGUAGUGAUGGCCUGCCGGACCACCUAGGUAGUGGUCAAUGGGGAUUAGCUCUCCCCGGGUAGAAAGGGAAUCAUGACUCAUGGGUAAAGUGUGCAACCUCUGCAGAGGGUAGUGAAACUGGUAUAUCAGCCGUGCUCACGGUUAAGAGCAGCCUUGGGAUCCUCUUUGAUUAGAGAUACAGAUGGUUCGAGAUACAAGGAUUAUGUUAUGGUUUUGGUUCGACUAUGAUGGUGUUGUUCCUCAAUGAGGAAAUGGUUUACGGGUUGGUUAAUGCUAAAAUCUGGCUUCUACUAAUGAUAAAUACUUGACCAACUAAAAGCAACUGCUUGAGCCUAACCCCACAUAAAGUUAGUCCACUUCAGCCAAACGGGACAUUUGCUGAGUACGUUGAUGUGUACUCAUCCUUGCUUUACCACAAAACACCAGGUUGUCCGCAUUGCAACCACUGCUCAGGAGAAGGUGAAGCCGUGGAAGGAGACUUCCAGGAGUUCCAAGACUACGACGAAUUCUAGGUGUGGGUUGGCGGCAACCCCCAGUCAGCUGCCUGUGAAGGCCUUAUCUUUACUGCGUUUCGCUAGCACUUUGAUUUACUUGUUAAGACAAUGACUAUGUGGAUGUCUAUGACUCUGUGAUGUAAUAAGUUAACACUCUUUUAUGUUAUUAUUCAAGCAUUGUGCGAUGAUGUUCAUUUAUGUAAUCACUGUGUACGUGAGUUCUGAUCCUGGCACGUACAUAGUUCGCAUUCGGUUUGCCUUCCAAAACCGGGUGUGACAUAAGUGGUAUCAAAGCCCAUGCUGACUGUAGGACCGCUGACCUAGAGUAGCACUGGUCGUUCUAAGGACUAUUGACCUUCCCUCUCACCUUGACCUCUGUUGUUACUUCAAAAGUCGGUCACCUCGACCAACCCUAUGUUUUACUAUCUAUCUAUACUAUACCUUGUUAAAAUUUUUAUCCUAUUCUAUCUUUGGUUUAUUCACUUGUCAUAUUAGUUCUGCUCUUACUCUUGUGCUUACGGUGUCUUUUGUAGAUGGCUCGUCUUAGACACACUGCACGUAAGUCGGUGAUUCCUUUCCUGCCGUCUCGACUUGCGGAGCGUCCUCUGCACCGCACCGUGUCCGGACAGUCGAGUCACCUGGAGAGGCUGCACCACCGCCUGCGUGAGGAGCAGGAACGCCGGCGCCAGCACGGAGAGCAGCAGGGCUCUUCCUCCUCACCCCAGCAGGAGAUGGAGACCGUGAGGCCCCGUUCCUCUGUUGCCCAGCUGGAGGCGCCCCUUGUACCGCCGCGGGACGUUCCAGCUGUUGGAGGAGCUACUGGAGGAGACCCCGACGACGACGACUCAGACCACAGCACGGAGUCUUCUGAGCCGCAGGAGGCGGAAGGAUGGGUCGCCCGACCCAUCACCCGUGACGCCGCUCGCGGUUGUCACUUCCACGACGCACUCGACACCUUGCUGCGCCAGGCUUUCGACCGGCACACCUGGUCGAUCGAGUAUCGUUGUGUAGUCUACCAGCACAGUCGCGGGAGGUACCCGGACCGCUGGGAGGCUACCUGCCUAGUUCGCCGUCCGGAGGAUGACCUCCGGGGUGCGGAGGCCGUUUCGGAGCACUAUUCCAUCUCCGAGAGGGACACUGCAGAGGCGGCUAUGCAGGAUGCAGCACGACGUGCACUCUCCCAGUACUGUUCCUUGUUCGGUGGCGUGGCCGACGGUCUUAACCUUCGGUACUACCCCCGCCGCCCUACUGGCAGCACGGAGAGUGUGGUUGUCUCGCCUGUUGGUGAGGCUAACCCUAGGUUGAGCAGCACAGUCAACCUAGUCGCAGUGCUUAACACUGAGCUGGACCACUCUCUGGACGAGCUAAGCAGGGCUCGAACGGAGAUUGCGGAGUUGCGUGCUGAGCUGGCAGAACGCCAUCACCAGGACGGUGGUUCCCCCGCUCCUGUUGGGACUCAGCACCCAUACCGCUCACCGCCACGUGGUCACCACACUUAUGGUUCCCCUGUCUGUAAGACCGGGAUAGAUCUGGAUCCUUAGAUCGUUAGCGUCGGAGUUUGUAAUAAUUCUUAAGUCAGAUGUCUCAGUCUUAGAUAGUCAGUUUAGUUUGCUUAUCAGUUGCUUCCAUUUAGUUUAGUUUGCUUAUCAGUUGCUUUAUUGCUUGUUAUGAUGAACUUGUGCUGGAUUUGAAUCUUUGUAAUGACUGUAGCCAACAUGUGGGUUUCCCCUGCAGUUUGGCUUAGCUAGUAAUGUUAAUGAAGUCAGUUGUUUAGUUGGGAAACCCUUUACUCUUACUUUCCUUUCUUAUCUGAGAAGCUGUGUUGAAUCAUGAAUGAGGAUCAGUGAAGCUCUUUGCUCACUCAGUGUCAUGAAGAAUUCUGUAUUCUCUUUUCUUAUGCUGAAGGGUUGUAGGAUCAAUGCUGAUGUAUGAAUGUCUUCCACAGAUGUCUGACAACAGGCGCCGAUGCAACAGGCGUGCUCAGCAAGAGCAGCAUGACCAGUAGGAGGAACAACAGAGGCAGCCUCCCCCACCACCCCCGAUGUCAGUGGAGCAGAUGUUCUUGAUGCAGACCCAGGCAGUGCAGGCCAUUGGGCAGACUCUGGCAGCCAUGCAGCAGGCUCAACAGCAACCCCAACCCCAAUUGCAAGUGCAGAUGCCCCAGAUGCCACGAGAUAAGCGUGGUGAGUUCAUGAGAGGGCACCCUCCUACCUUCGCCCAUUCUGCUGACCCCAUGGAUGCAGAAGACUGGCUGCGCGCAGUGGAAAGGGAACUGCGCACCGCCCAAUGUGACGACAGGGAGAAGGUUCUAUAUGGUCCCCGCCAGCUAAGGGGAGCAGCCCAGUCCUGGUGGGAGUCCUACCUCGCCACCCAUGCUGACCCUGAAGCCAUCACGUGGGAGGAAUUCAGCGAGAGUUUCCGUCGGUACCAUGUGCCAGAGGGACUGAUGAUCGUGAAGAAGGAGGAGUUUUUGGCUCUGAAGCAGGGACCCCUGUCUGUUAGUGAGUACAGGGACAAGUUUCUGCAGCUGUCUCGUUAUGCACCUGAAGACGUCAACACUGAUGCCAAGAGGCAGUACAGGUUCAUGAGAGGUUUGGUGGAUCCCCUGCAUUACCAGCUGAUGAAUCACACCUUCCCCACCUUCCAGCACCUGAUCGAUAGGGCAGUUAUGACUGAGAAGAAGCGUAAGGAUAUGGAAGAUCGGAAGCGCAAGAUGAGUGGACCCCAGUCCGGAGGCAUCAGCCGUCCACGUUUCUCAGGCAGUUCAUCUCAGCAAGGCAGACCUGGUCACCCACAGGGAUAUCAGAAUCAGAAUCAGCGUCCGCAUCAGCAGCAAUUUCAGAGGCAGUACCCGCAGCAGCAGCAGCAGUAUCGUCAGCACAGCCAGCAGGGAGGUAAUCAAUAUCAGAAGCAGAACAACCAGGCACCUCGCCUUCCUGCCCCAGCAGCAAAUCAGAGCAACCAAGCAGCCCCAGCACAAGGAGGAGGCAGAGGAUGUUUCCACUGCGAAGAUCAAGGCCACUGGGCGAUGCAGUGCCCAAAGAAGUUGGCGCAGCAGCAGACCAACCCCAAUGCUCCAACAAGGCAAGGUGUACUGCAGCCAGCAGCAGGCAAUCGUAACCAAGCGUACAACCGUGGAAAGGUGAACCACUUGGAGGCCGAAGCGAUCCAGGAUGCACCAGAUGUGGCAGUAGGUAUGUUCUCAGUCGAAUCUCAUCCCGCAAAAGUGCUAUUUGAUACUGGUGCAACUCAUUCGUUUGUCACUACAACAUGGGUAGAAUUGCAUAACAUCUCAGUAGAGGCAAUGAUGCCGCCCAUGAGGAUUAAUUCGGUUGGUGGCAAGGUGCAAACAGAUAAAAUAUGCUCAAAUGUAAGGGUGGAAGUAAGGGGGAUAGGGUUCCCCAGUGAUCUAAUAGUAAUAGACACCCUUGGGGUAGAUAUCAUCCUAGGGAUGAAUUGGUUAAUGAAGUAUGAGGCGAAAGUUAGUUGUGACAAGAGGACCGUAACAUUGAAGUCCCCGUCAGGAGAAGAGGUAGUGGCCGAGCUAUGGAUGCCUAAAUCAGCGGAGGGAGCCUGUCAUCAGAUUUCGGUUGAUAGUAAGGAGCCCAACCCGCUCGAGACUAUCAAGGUUGUGUCGGACUUUCCGGAUGUGUUUCCUGAGGAGCUAACGGGCAUGCCACCCGAAAGAAAGGUUGAAUUUGCCAUAGAGCUUAUCCCUGGUACCGCCCCCAUUUCCAAAAGAGCCUACCGAGUGUCUAGACCAGAACUGGUAGAACUCAAGAAGCAGAUAGAUGAGAUGUUAGAGAAGGGUUACAUCAGGCCAAGCACCUCGCCUUGGGCCGCUCCGGUGUUGUUUGUAGAGAAGAAAGAUGGUACCAAAAGGAUGUGCAUAGAUUACAGAGCCUUGAAUGAAGUCACUGUCAAGAACAAAUACCCCCUGCCAAGGAUAGAAGAUCUGUUUGACCAGCUCAGAGGUGCCAGCGUAUUCUCGAAGAUAGAUCUGAGAUCAGGUUACCAUCAACUCAGAAUCCGACCCUCGGACAUACCGAAGACGGCAUUCAUCACCAAGUAUGGGUUAUAUGAGUUCACAGUUAUGUCCUUUGGUUUGACAAAUGCGCCAGCCUUCUUCAUGUACCUGAUGAACAGUGUGUUCAUGGAUUAUCUGGACAAGUUUGUGGUAGUGUUCAUCGAUGACAUUCUCAUAUACUCUCAAAGUGAGGAAGACCAUGUGGAGCAUUUGAAGAUGGUAUUGCAAAGGCUUCGAGAACAUCAGUUGUAUGCCAAGCUGGGCAAAUGCGAGUUCUGGAUUCAUGAAGUCUUGUUUCUGGGUCACAUCAUAAAUCAAGAUGGGUUGGCAGUAGAUCCAAAGAAAGUGGCAGAUAUCCUGAACUGGAAAGCACCGAAGGAUGUUCGUGGGAUCAAGAGCUUCAUUGGAAUGGCUGGAUAUUACAGGCGUUUCAUUGAAGGCUUCUCAAAGAUUGCUAGGCCAAUGACAGCGUUACUAGCAAAGAAGGUUGAGUUUAAAUGGACUCAAAAGUGUCAGGAAGCAUUUGAAGAACUGAAGAAUAAAUUGACUACAGCUCCUGUGUUAGUCCUGCCUGAUGUUCACAAGCCAUUCUCGGUGUAUUGCGAUGCUUCUUACACCGGAUUGGGAUGUGUGCUAAUGCAAGAAGGAAGAGUUGUAGCAUACUCAUCUCGACAGCUGAAGAUCCAUGAGAAAAAUUACCCCACACACGACCUAGAGUUGGCAGCAGUGGUUCAUGCUUUAAAGACAUGGAGACAUUACCUGUAUGGGCAGAAGUGCGAUAUCUACACAGAUCAUAAAAGUCUGAAGUACAUAUUCACCCAGUCAGAGUUAAACAUGAGGCAGCGAAGAUGGUUGGAACUGAUCAAAGACUAUGAGUUGGAGAUACAUUACCAUCCGGGCAAAGCCAAUGUUGUUGCAGAUGCUCUGAGCAGGAAGAGUCAAGUUAAUAUGUUGGCCUCGUACCCGAUGCCGUAUGAGUUAGCCAAAGAGUUCGACAGACUGAGCCUUGGUUUCCUGAACAGUACGCAAGGAGUAACAGUGGAAUUAGAGCCCACCCUAGAGCGGGAGAUCAAAGAAGGGCAGAAGGAUGAUGAAAACAUCAACAAGAUCCGGCAGCUGAUCCUAGAAGGAAGAGGCAAAGACUUUCGAGAGGAUGAAGAAGGAGUAAUAUGGUUCAAGGACCGAUUGUGUGUUCCCGACCUCAAACCUAUUCGGGAGCUGAUCCUAAAGGAAGCUCAUGAGACAGCCUACUCUAUACACCCGGGAAGCGAGAAGAUGUACCAGGAUUUAAAAAGAAGGUUUUGGUGGUAUGGCAUGAAAAGGGAGAUCGCGGAAUAUGUCGCCAUCUGUGAUAGCUGUCAGAGAACCAAAGCGGAGCACCAGAGGCCUGCCGGAUUGUUGCAGCCAUUGCGGAUUCCUCAGUGGAAGUGGGAUGAGAUCGGGAUGGAUUUUAUAGUCGGCUUACCUCGUACCCGGGCCGGUUAUGAUUCCAUCUGGGUGGUUGUGGACCGCUUAACAAAGGUGGCCCAUUUCAUACCUGUGAAGACAACAUACACCGGAGCAACGUUAGCUGAGUUAUACAUGUCACGGAUAGUCUGCCUUCAUGGUGUGCCGAAGAAGAUAGUGUCAGAUCGAGGAACGCAGUUCACAUCUCAUUUUUGGCAGCAGCUACAAGAAGCUUUGGGCACCCAUUUGAACUUCAGCUCAGCUUAUCACCCGCAGACAGACGGUCAGACUGAAAGAACUAAUCAGAUCCUAGAAGAUAUGUUGAGAGCCUGUGCGUUGCAAGACAAGUCAGGAUGGGACAAAAGAUUACCUUAUGCAGAAUUCUCCUACAACAAUAGUUACCAGGCCAGCUUGAAGAUGUCACCGUUUCAGGCACUCUAUGGACGGAGUUGUAGGACUCCGCUGCAUUGGGACCAGCCUGGAGAGAGACAGGUGUUUGGCCCCGACAUUUUGCUUGAAGCCGAAGAGAAUAUCAAAAUGGUUCGGGAGAACCUGAAGAUAGCACAGUCAAGACAACGAAGCUAUGCGGACCGCAGGAGAAGAGAACUGAGUUUUGAAGUGGGAGACUACGUCUAUCUGAAGGUGUCACCUAUCAGGGGAGUCAGAAGGUUCGGAGUCAAAGGCAAGUUAGCACCCCGGUACGUCGGACCGUAUCAGAUUCAAACAAAGCGUGGAGAAGUGGCUUACCAACUCAACCUACCAGAAAGUUUGUCGGCAGUGCACAACGUGUUCCACGUGUUGCAAUUGAAGAAAUGUCUGCGAGUACCACAAGAUCAUUUGCCAGUGGAGGGUUUGGAAGUUCAGGAAGAUCUGACCUACAUAGAGAAGCCAACGCAGAUUUUGGAGUUUGCAGACAGGGUCACCCGGAGAAACACCAUCAGAAUGUGCAAAGUCAGAUGGGGUCACCACUCUGAGGAAGAAGCAACCUGGGAACGAGAAGAUGAUCUAAAAGCCAAAUACCCUGAACUCUUUGCUGACCAACCCUGAAUCUCGGGGGCGAGAUUCUUUUAAGGGGGAUAGGUUUGUAACACCCUGAAUUUGGGGGUAUAAAAUUUCUUUGCUCAUAUUCACAAAUUCAGGUGUUACUUCCCUUUUUUCAUCCUUUCCCAAUCUUCUCUUUCUCAUUUCUAUAGGAGAAAAGUGGUUAUUUUAUUUGUAAUUAUAGUCUAUUAGCUCAAACCCUAAGGGAAUAUGAAUUGUUGCAUCAUGUUGAACCCUAGAUUUCACUUUUGUUUGGUGCAUAGUUCUCAAAAGUCUAAUUUGAAUUUGGGGCUCAUUUGAAUUUGAAUCAAAUAGAAUAAAUAAAAGAAAAGGAGAAAACAAUUCCAAAAUAAAAGAAAAAGGCAAAGCAGCCCACUUCCCCGCCCCCCUCGACCUUUCGGCCCAGUCGGCCCACCUCGCGCGCGCGCCUCUCCCCCCUCCUCUCUCUGCGCAGCGGGCCCGGCCUGUCGGCGCGGCCGCCUUCCGCGCACCCGCCUCCCUCUCUCUCUGCUCGCCCGGCCCCACCUGUCGGCGCUGCCGCUUCCCCGCCCGCGCCCGCUCCCUCGCUCUCUCUCUGCCCGUGGGCCCGGCCCGUCAGCCCCGCUUCCCUCGCGCCCGCACCCGCUUUCUUCUCUCUCUCUGCGCCGCGGGCCCGGCUUGUCAGCUUCUCCGUCUUCGCGUAACCGCCGCCGUGCGUGUCGCGGUCUCCGCGCCCACGUCGCGCGUGGGGCUCGCCCCACCUCGCCCUCGGCCACUUGAGCCCCGAGCCUUGCUCGCCAUCUCCCCCUCCCUCAUUUGCGCACCAACCGGACCCCCCUCUUCCACCUCUCCCUCGCUGCGCGCACGCCAGAGCGCCGCCGCCGUAAAUCCCGCCGUUCCGAGCUCGGUUCCCGGCCGCCGUUGGAGCUCCGCCGUGUCCAUUGCCACGGUGAGCUUCGCCCCGACGUCCGCAACCCGGAACGCGCAUCAAUUUCCCCUUCCCCUCCCUAUUUCUCUCUGCCCGCGCUCACCCGCCGUCCGCCGUGCAGCCGCCACCGUCGACCCGGGCCACCGUCGCGUCUCCGUCGCCGCCGAGGAGUCCCCGGAGCCCGCCUUGAGGUAAAGAACCUCCCCCGCCCCUAUUGGCCUUUAUUUUGCUCUCUGCUGCGUUUGAUUGCUCGUCGGAGUUGCUUACCGCCGCCGCCGAGCCACUCCACCGUGAGCCACCCCCCUCCGGUGCCCCUGCCACGACCCAGACCCCACCAAUGGAUUCCCCGUGCCCUCCCUAACCUCCCCGGCCACUCGGAUCGCCGCAAGGACCCGCAGGGCCCCCGCGCCCCUCGUCUCCGGCGAGCUCCUCCGCCGCGGGGACGAGCGCCGCCGCCCCAGCUAGCCGAAGGAGACGGGAGCCAGCCACCCCAUCCCCGCCGUCUAUAUUAGAUCGGACGGCACGGAUUCAAAUAACCCGAACCCAACCUCAACCGUCCACCCAAGAUCCAACGGCCCAGAGCCGUUUCCCCCGCGCCCCGCCUCCCUGCCAACUGGGCCCCGCCUGCCAGUCGCCCGCGCUCGCGCUGCCAACUGGGCCCCGCCUGUCAGCCCCGCGCCCGCGCUGCCCGCCCGGCCCCGCCUGUCAGCCGCUCACGCCGCCGCGCGCCCGCGCGCCCGCCCGCAGGAUCUAAUCCUGGCCGUCGAUCUGAGAUCCAACGGCUGUAGGCGCCCGAUACCCCUUCGCCCGCGCAUUUUCUUAAAGAACCCCCUGUUUUCUGGAAAUUGCGCCCGCCGUCCCUGGUUUCUCGCAGUUAGGUCCUCGGACCUAUUAUUUAAUUCAAAAUAGGUCCUUAGGGUAUAAUUUUAACCCCUAAACUUGUAAAAUUCAUAACUUUGUCAUAUGAACUCCAAAUUAGGUGCUUCAAAUUGCAAAAUGUUCAUAAUAUUAUUAUCUAUCUGUUUAUGCGAUGUUUCUCUGCUGUUUCCAUGUCCCAAUUAAUGGUUAAUCAUUGGGAUAUAGUUAAUGUUAUGGGAACCCUAUUUGAGAUAAAUAAAAGAUAGUAGACUUUAAUAAAAGUUGGAGCACUUAAGUUUAUGGACUCAAACACUUAAGUUUAGGAACUUAAACCAGAUAAUUAUUUUAAUCCCACCACUGACUUGAACCUGAUUAGUGGAUAAUGAAUCACUUUGUAUAGUCCUCUACCCCAGACCUAGGGAACACUAGAGUGCCUAUCCUUUUUUUGUUAUGACCAUGUGACCUCUCUCUGCUGCAUAUGUUUCGUAUAUUGUUUUUGUUUGUUAUUUUCCCAAGUGCAUAGUGUGAAUGAUUGCUUUACGUAGACAACGAGCAGUCUGUGUUUCCCGAGGCAGUUGCAGAGGAAGUCCCUGAUCAGCAGUUUGGUGAAGGCAAGUGUCCUCUGUCCCAUUAUGUCCUAUUCAUUUAUAACUUACUACCCCGCACUACUUACUUGAAACCUAAGGAUUGACUAGCUUUACAUUUUACUUUAUCCUUGAUGACCUUAUGGGCUAUUAUGGUUAGCACUCUGCUAUUGCCUUAACUUAAUCAAUGAACAUGAUGUGACUAUUUAUGAUACUGUUAUCCUGAUGAUGUUGAUGAUCUUGUGAUACUCUAGGGGGCUCAGGCUGUUUUCCUGAGUACCUCUCCGUAAGGACUGGUUCGUUGAGAGACCACCCGGGAUAACAGUGCAACCAUGAGGGUGAAAUGGGAUGCCCUUAGCUGAUUAAUUAGAUGAACUAGAGGUGUAGUUGCUUAGCCGUCGUGCCGUCAAUGGGGUCCAGGCACAGUGCUUGCUCUGCCGAGGCUGAGUGCCGAGGUUCUUUCGUUUUGCUCUUUGUUAGUCACUCUCCUGCGGGGAGGGGUACUGUGUUUAUCAAACUGGAGAAACCUAACGGGCAGCUACGAUCUCUAGGGAAUCUUUGUAAAAGCUACGUAGUGAUGCCCUGCCGGACCACCUAGGUAGUGGUCAAUGGGGAUUAGCUCUCCCCGGGUAGAAAGGGAAUCAUGACUCAUGGGUAAAGUGUGCAACCUCUGCAGAGGGUAGUGAAACUGGUAUAUCAGCCGUGCUCACGGUUAAGAGCAGCCUUGGGAUCCUCUUUGAUUAGAGAUACAGAUGGUUCGAGAUACAAGGAUUAUGUUAUGGUUUUGGUUCGACUAUGAUGGUGUUGUUCCUCAAUGAGGAAAUGGUUUACGGGUUGGUUAAUGCUAAAAUCUGGCUUCUACUAAUGAUAAAUACUUGACCAACUAAAAGCAACUGCUUGAGCCUAACCCCACAUAAAGUUAGUCCACUUCAGCCAAACGGGACAUUUGCUGAGUACGUUGAUGUGUACUCAUCCUUGCUUUACCACAAAACACCAGGUUGUCCGCAUUGCAACCACUGCUCAGGAGAAGGUGAAGCCGUGGAAGGAGACUUCCAAGAGUUCCAAGACUACGACGAAUUCUAGGUGUGGCUUGGCGGCAACCCCCAGUCAGCUGCCUGUGAAGGCCUUAUCUUUACUGCGUUUCGCUAGCACUUUGAUUUACUUGUUAAGACAAUGACUAUGUGGAUGUCUAUGACUCUGUGAUGUAAUAAGUUAACACUCUUUUAUGUUAUUAUUCGAGCAUUGUGCGAUGAUGUUCAUUUAUGUAAUCGCUGUGUACGUGAGUUCUGAUCCUGGCACGUACAUAGUUCGCAUUCGGUUUGCCUUCCAAAACCGGGUGUGACAUUCAUCUCCCAGUACUUAUCAAACUUGUCUCUCAUAGAGUAUGCCAUAGUGCAGAUUAUGGGAUCAUACUAUCACACCAUCUUGCAAUAGCCAUCUUUAUCUCAGAAAAUUUACGAAAGAAAUGAUUUGCAGUAGGAUAUGAAGUGCUAGAAAAAAGUAAUGUGACAUCAUAGAACUUCUUCAAACACUUGCUGAUGUUUAAUGCAUUCAACCAAUCAUUAGCCAAAGGAUUUAUAUGACCAUAUCUAUCCUUUUCUUUUGUUGCAAGGCGAUCAAAAGCAUUCUUGUAGUAAAUGGCAUCUCUAACCAUAAUAUAUGUGGAGUUCCAUCUUGUUGCAACAUCCAAGGAAAGAGAUUUUUUAGGGUCUAGGUCACAUUCUCUUACACAUUUCUCAAAUGCCUCCAACUGUAGGGGUGACCUUUUAAUGAUUGUUAUAAAAUGUCUAAUGUUUCCAAUGGCAUGUGCAAUUACAGCUAACCCAUCUCUAGCAACAAGAUUCAAUAUAUGAUUUGCACAUCUAACAUGAAAGAACUUUCCACCACAAACGAGCAAGUCUUUAGCACUAUCAAUCACUAUAUCAAUGACAACCUUAUUUGAAGAAGCAUUAUCCAAAGAAAGAGCAAACAUUUUCUUAUCAAGGUUCCAAUUCAGCACAUUAGCAAAAAAAGUAUCACUCAUUUUUUUCCACUAUGGUUGCCUUCUACAUGCAUAAAAUUGAUAAUCCUUUUUUGCAUGUUCCAAUUAUCAUCAAUCCAAUGAGCAGUGACGCACAAGUAUGACUUGUUUUGAAUAGAUGUCCAUGUAUCCAUAGUAAAACUAACACGACAGGACAACUUUUUGAAUUGUGCAUACAACAUAUUCUUUUCCUCAAUAUAAAGAUCCAUGAUCUCUUUACGAACAGUAACACGAGACUUCAAAGAAAAUGAUGGUCGCAGUGAUUUGAUAAAUUUCACCAAAGUACUUGUGUUGGGCAAUACUAAAAGGAUACUCAUGCAUGAUGAUGGCUUAAUAUAGCAGUCUCACACUAAAAUUCUCAUCAUAUUUAUAUGUUUGUAUAGUAUCCCCAUUCUGAGUUAAGUGUUGUUGACCCUUCAAAAUCUUAUGCCUCAGCUUUAAAUGGUUACUAAAAGCCUUUGUGCCAUUUGAACUAUCGGCCUUAGCUUUAUGUGGACAUUUUUUGCAUUUUGCCCACUUUUGCUUAACAAUGGAACCAUCAUUUUGCUCCACUUCUACAUCAUACCUUGUAAAAUGCUCCCAAACCCAUGAAGUGAGCUUCUUUUUCUUGACAUCUAAUUCUUCAUCACAAUCAUCUUCAGUGCUUAUUUGGACACUUGCAGCUAUGCUUGCAUUUUCACUUGCACUCGCACUUGCAUCUUGUGCAACUAUAACAAAAAAGAAUAUGUUAAUAUACAUUUGCAUUCACUUGAAAAUGAAACAAACAAAGUAAAAAGGACAACUUUCGAAACUUGAGGUUGAGGCACUAAAUCUGUGCUCUUGUUUGACCUUGUUGCUUUAAAUGCAGAUGCCAUAAACUUGCUUGUAGGGGUACUAGUUGACUUGGUUGCUAGUAGUUGUUUCACCACACGAUUGUCUCCAUCUAUGGAUUUGUUUUUUCCACAAACAACUUUUUGGCUAAUGACAUUCACCUCACUACCAGUAGGUGUAAGAACAUGAUCCUCCUCCUCCAUGUGGUCACUGUCAUUGCCAUUAACAUCCCCCCAAUACCAUGUAUCUCAUCUUCAUUAGACACAUUGUUGUCAAUAUCACAAAUAUUAUCCACAUCCAUGGUGCUGUUAUUGUCCAUCACAAAGCAUAAGAACAAAGUUACUGGUAGAUUGUGCUAGUCAAAUACAUAAAAAACUAGAAAGCAACAAUGCCUUAGAAGAGAGUGAGGGGCUGCAAACCGGGGCCACGACGUGAGAGUUCGACCGCGAGGCGCCUCCGAUUGUUGUUGCCGAGACGCUGGAGCCGAUGACGACGAGCCGGCGACGACAACGGGUGGCGACGAG